rnacentral:lncRNA from 1 species
ACCAACGAUAGUAAUGCAUCCAUUUCUUCUUGCGGGUUCCUGAGAGUUUGUGUACUGGGCCGUAGGUCACUGAGUGACUUUUUGUUUCUUUUUUUUAGAGCACUGCUUUUUAUUGUCACCCAGGGGAAAGUCUGUCUGAGGGACUGGGAGUGUGUCCCUGUGCCUGAGUUUCUGGGAUCAGAAGCAGGCGGGUCUUUCCAAGUGUUGGUAAAUGACUUGAGUGUCCCCCUUUGUCCACGUGAACCAGUUUUGCCUAGGCGCCCUGAGUGGACAGAUCUGUGUGUGGUCAUUACAGUGUGGCUCUCCAUGUGUAAUUCUGCUUAUCGAGGGUGUUUCUGGGAACCUGGGUGUCUGUCUG